GAAACAGUUGCUAAGACUGGAUAGGAAAUUAAAAGGCAUCUUUUAAUUUUUAAAAGACCUUUUUCGGAAGGUAUGCUUAAAGAGGGGCUUGCGCCACAUUAGUUAGUUGGUAAGGUAAAGGCUUACCAAGACGAUGAUGUGUAGCUGGACUGAGAGGUUGAACAGCCACAUUGGGACUGAGACACGGCCCAAACUCCUACGGGAGGCAGCAGUAAGGAAUUUUUGGCAAUGGAGGAAACUCUGACCGAGCGACGCCGCGUGAACAAUGAAGUACUUCGGUAUGUAAAGUUCUUUUAUUGAAAAAGAAAAAAUAGUGGAAAAACUAUCUUGACAUUAUUCAAUGAAUAAGCCCCGGCUAAUUAUGUGCCAGCAGCCGCGGUAAUACAUAAGGGGCGAGCGUUAUCCGGAAUUAUUGGGCGUAAAGGGUGCGUAGGCGGUUUGAUAAGUCUAUAGUUUAAUUGCAGUGCUUAACGCUGUACCGCUAUAGAAACUGUCUGACUAGAGUUAGAUAGAGGCAAGCGGAAUUCCAUGUGUAGCGGUAAAAUGCGUAAAUAUAUGGAGGAACACCAGAGGCGUAGGCGGCUUGCUGGGUCUUAACUGACGCUGAGGCACGAAAGCGUGGGGAGCAAACAGGAUUAUAUACCCUGGUAGUCCACGCCGUAAACGAUGAGUACUAAGUGUCGGGUUUUGGCUCGGUACUGAAGUUAACACAUUAAGUACUCCGCCUGAGUAGUACGUACGCAAGUAUGAAACUUAAAGGAAUUGACGGGACCCCGCACCAGCGGUGGAUCAUGUUGUUUAAUUUGAAGAUACACGAAAAACCUUACCAGGUCUUGACAUAAUUUUGCGACAUUAUAGAAAUAUAAUGAAGGUUAUCAGAAUUACAGGUGGUGCAUGGUUGUCGUCAGCUCGUGUCGUGAGAUGUUAGGUUAAGUCCUAAAACGAGCGCAACCCUUGUCGUUAGUUGCGACCACAUAAUGGUGAGCACUUUAGCGAGACUGCCAAUGAAAAAUUGGAGGAAGGUGAGGAUUACGUCAAAUCAUCAUGCCCCUUAUGAUCUGGGCUACAAACGUGAUACAAUGGCUUUUACAAAGAGUAGCUACAACGUGAGUUUUUAGCCAAUCUCAAAAAAACAGUCUCAGUUCGGAUUGAAGUCUGCAACUCGACUUCAUGAAGUUGGAAUCGCUAGUAAUCGCGAAUCAGCAUGUCGCGGUGAAUACGUUCUCGGGGUUUGUACACACCGCCCGUCA
rnacentral:rRNA from 1 species